rnacentral:rRNA from 1 species
CCUACGGGAGGCUGCAGUGGGGAAUAUUGCACAAUGGAGGGAACUCUGAUGCAGCGACGCCGCGUGAGUGAAGAAGUAAUUCGUUAUGUAAAGCUCUAUUAGCAGGGAAGAAAGUGACGGUACCUGAAAAAGAAGCUCCGGCUAAAUACGUGCCAGCAGCCGCGGUAAUACGUAUGGAGCAAGCGUUAUCCGGAUUUACUGGGUGUAAAGGGAGAGUAGGUGGCAGAGCAAGUCCGAAGUGAAAACCCAAAGCUCAACUAUGGGAAUGCUUUAGAAACUGCUCAGCUAGAGUGCAGGAGAGGUAAGCGGAAUUCCUGGUGUAGCGGUGAAAUGCGUAGAUAUCAGGAGGAACACCGGCGGCGAAGGCGGCUUACUGGACUGUAACUGACGUUGAGGCUCGAAGGCGUGGGGAGCAAACAGGAUUAGAUACCCGUGUAGUC